rnacentral:rRNA from 1 species
UGGGGAAUCUUGCGCAAUGGGCGAAAGCCUGACGCAGCCAUGCCGCGUGAAUGAUGAAGGUCUUAGGAUUGUAAAAUUCUUUCACCGGGGACGAUAAUGACGGUACCCGGAGAAGAAGCCCCGGCUAACUUCGUGCCAGCAGCCGCGGUAAUACGAAGGGGGCUAGCGUUGCUCGGAAUUACUGGGCGUAAAGGGAGCGUAGGCGGACAUUUAAGUCAGGGGUGAAAUCCCGGGGCUCAACCUCGGAAUUGCCUUUGAUACUGGGUGUCUUGAGUGUGAGAGAGGUAUGUGGAACUCCGAGUGUAGAGGUGAAAUUCGUAGAUAUUCGGAAGAACACCAGUGGCGAAGGCGACAUACUGGCUCAUUACUGACGCUGAGGCUCGAAAGCGUGGGGAGCAAACAGGAUUAGAUACCCUGGUAGUCCACGCCGUAAACGAUGAUUGCUAGUUGUCGGGAUGCAUGCAUUUCGGUGACGCAGCUAACGCAUUAAGCAAUCCGCCUGGGGAGUACGGUCGCAAGAUUAAAACUCAAAUGAAUUGACGGGGGUCAUAGCUGUUUCCUG